rnacentral:rRNA from 1 species
UACGAAGGGGGCGAGCGUUGUUCGGAUUUACUGGGCGUAAAGGGCGCGCAGGCGGUCUUGAAAGUCAGGCGUGAAAGCCCCGGGCUUAACCUGGGAAUUGCGCUUGAUACUCUGAGACUGGAGUACGGGAGAGGAGAGUGGAAUUCCCAGUGUAGAGGUGAAAUUCGUAGAUAUUCGCAAGAACACCAGUGGCGAAGGCGGCUCACUGGCCCGGUACUGACGCUGAGGUGCGAAAGCGUGGGGAGCAAACAGG